UGAGUAAUACAUCGGAACGUGUCUUCUAGUGGGGGAUAACUGCCCGAAAGGGCAGCUAAUACCGCAUGAGACCUGAGGGUGAAAGCGGGGGAUCGCAAGACCUCGCGCUGGAAGAGCGGCAGAUGUCCGAUUAGCUAGUUGGUGAGGUAAAGGCUCACCAAGGCGACGAUCGGUAGCCGGACUGAGAGGUUGGCCGGCCACAUUGGGACUGAGACACGGCCCAG
rnacentral:rRNA from 1 species